GCUGUCCACCAAUCAAUCCUUGCCAAACAAACACAACCUCACCUUCUUACUCACAAAAGAAACACACUCCAUCCUAGCCAUUUAUUCACAUUAUCAAAUGAGAGAAAUUGUCUUGUCAAAACUCUAUUGGGAAGUUUACCUUGUGUGAAAUAUCUUGAAGUUAUACAUGAUGAAGCUUCUUCACAUUUUUUUGGCUUUGCUAAUCAUGGCUUCAAUGUCAAAUACUCAACCACCUGUUGGUUCAACAACUUGUCCUGUGCCUAAAGAUGAAUGUGAAGAGGCAUGCAAUGUGAGAUGCUCACAAAAAGGUCACAAAAAGAGAUGUUUGUUCUAUUGCAACCAUUGUUGUGGAUGGUGUCAAUGUGUUCCACCAGGAUAUGUUGGAGAAAAUAAAGAUUGCUGUUCUUGCUACAAUGAAUGGAAGAAACAAACAGGAGAACCCAAGUGUCCAUGAAAUUUAAUUAAUUUUAUGUAAUCAAUUUUAUGUUUAAUUUUCUUAAUUUGAUUUUCUUGAGAAGGAUUUUUCAUGUCUUGUCAAAAUGAAGAACUAAUAUUUCUUGAUUAUGUUUUUUGUUUGGUCACAAAAUCAAACUCUUUGUUAUAAAUGUAUUUACAUUAUAGUGAA